rnacentral:lncRNA from 1 species
GGGCAAUGGCGGGCGCCCCUCCCCCAGCCUCGCUGCCGCCUUGCAGUUUGAUCUCAGACUGCUGUGCUAGCAAUCAGCAAGUCUCCGUGGGCGUAGGACCCUCCGAGCCAGGUGCAGGAUUUAAUCUCGUGGUGCGCCGUUUUUUUAAGCCGGUCGGAAAAGCGCAAUAUUCGGGUGGGAGUGACCCGAUUUUCCAGAAUGUCUCUCUGGCUUCCUCUCCCUCUCAGAGACCCAAUUUGGAACUGAAACCCUGAGUACAGCAAAACUGCAUUUCCCAAGCUCCUCUUCUCUCAAUGGGUCACAUGACUUGUUCUAGCCAAUAGAACGAGGGUGGAAGUAAUGUGACCACUUUCAGGUGUCCCCUAAAGUCUCCUGUGAGAUCUUCCAAUCUUGCUCUCCUCACUCUGCAUGGCUGGAAAUGAAUACUCUGAUAUCUGAAACAACAUGAUGAAGGAGCCAGGAUGCCUAAGUUCACCACUUAGAGAAGAGACAGCUUGAAGAGUCAUUCUGGAGAACUGGCUGACCAAACUCAUUGGAUUGUAACAGAAUAUAAACCUUUUAUUCUGAUAUGCCAGAGGCACAUUAUGGAUUGUAUUACAAUGACUAGCAUUAGCUGUCCUGAUUAAUAGACACUGUGACAAGAUUCUUUAUUGCUAAAAGAAAAAAAAAGCAAUGGCUGAUACCUGAUUAACAGACACUGUGACAAGAUUUUUUAUUGCUAAAAGAAAAAAAAAAAGCAAUGGCUGAUACCAUUUAAAAUAAAACUUACAAUUAAGGCAAUUCAGUUUGAAAUGUGUUUAUGAAGUUAUUUCAUAGCACUAAUUACAGUUCUAACAAUAUGUAUUUCUGUAGGUGUAUUUUCAAUUCUCUACUAAGUAGUAAGCUCUGUGAGACUGGAAGUUGUACAUGUUUUGUUCUUCACUGCAGAGGUCAUACUCCUCAGAGUACAGGACCCAUGGUGGGAAAUAUUAGCUUCAUGAAUGAGUGAAUGAAUGACUACACACAAGGUUUGAUAAUUAGCAUCCAGAAUAACAAAGAUAUAUACAAUGAAUUAAUGAUUCAUAGUGAGGCUUAGUCAAGUAUACAAAAAGAACAAGAUGAAAUGCAACAUAAUUGUGAUAUUGUGAAGUGUAUACUUGGUCUUCACCCCUGUUUACUGUCAUACACACAAUUCCUAAGAUGCUUGGAAUCUCCAAAGUGUUGUCUUUUUGUAUGCUAAUGUUCACUGAUAGCUUCAGGAUGGAGGUGGUCACCAGAAGGACAAAGGCAUGAUUAUAGGGUUGGAACUUCUGGGCCCACCUCCCCAACUUCCAGGGAGAAGAGCGGGGCUGAAAGACAGACUGAUCAGCAAUGGCCUGUGGUUUGAUCAUAAUGAAGCCUCCAUAAAAACCCAAGUUGACAGAGUUUGGCAAGCUUUUAGAUAGCUGAACACAUGGAGGCUCCCAGAGGAUGGCAUGCCCAGUGAGGGCAUGGAAGCUUCACACCCCUUUCUUCAUACCUUACCAUACACAUCUCUUCAUCUAUAUUCUUUGUAAUAUCUUUUAUAAUAAACCAGUAAAUGUA